UAGGGAAUCUUCGGCAAUGGACGAAAGUCUGACCGAGCAACGCCGCGUGAGUGAAGAAGGUUUUCGGAUCGUAAAACUCUGUUGUUAGAGAAGAACAAGGACGUUAGUAACUGAACGUCCCCUGACGGUAUCUAACCAGAAAGCCACGGCUAACUACGUGCCAGCAGCUGCGGUAAUACGUAGGUGGCAAGCGUUGUCCGGAUUUAUUGGGCGUAAAGCGAGCGCAGGCGGUUUCUUAAGUCUGAUGUGAAAGCCCCCGGCUCAACCGGGGAAGGUCAUUGGAAACUGGGAGACUUGAGUGCAGAAGAGGAGAGUGGAAUUCCAUGUGUAGCGGUGAAAUGCGUAGAUAUAUGGAGGAACACCAGUGGCGAAGGCGGCUCUCUGGUCUGUAACUGACGCUGAGGCUCGAAAGCGUGGGGAGCAAACAGG
rnacentral:rRNA from 1 species